UGAAAGUAAUAAAGAAAACUCGUAGCCUUUGCUACAAAAGAGCUUGUGUUUCAAGCCCUGAGAGGAGGACUCUCGCAUCGAUUCCGUCUCGCCAUCACUCCAUCUUCAUUGAUCCAUCUCUCUCUCUUUCACGAACCCAUCGGUUUCGUUCUCCGUUUAUACCACACGUGCUCUGUUUUUGUGUCUAAAAACAGAGUAGCCGUAUUUCAUCUCUUUUAAGCUUCUGCCUCUACACCAGAUUGAAUCAACGGAAUAUAUGGGAUUAGGCUGGUAUACAUAUAUUUAUAUGAUGGUUUGAUAAGAGUCGUUGAAGGCUUUAAGAGGCAGAACGUCAUGAAGGCCUUAACUACGUAAGCCUAGUAUGGUUACUAUUAAUUUCAAAUUCAAUUACUGCAAGAUCCACGUGGUAUCCAUCUAUGACUGGAUAUAGUUCCGACCACAUAUCCAGGAUCCGCGUGUCAAUGUGCAGCCAAUUGUCCAAAGUACCCUUCCACAAAAUACUUAAUUUACUCUUGGAAUGCAAAAUUGUAACUGCAUCCUAUGUAAUAAACUACCUCAUAAAGUUAUUUAGUUUACAAUGAUUACCAAUUAACA
rnacentral:sRNA from 1 species